GAGCAUUCAGCGUCUGGGGCUAGGAACACUGAGUAUCCUACAUUGCGUUGGACAGUUUCAUCCAGUUAAGAUUUGUCCCACCCCAAAUGCCAAUAGCUGGGUUAGCUGACCCUCAGAACCCAAAGAUGGACAACUCAACCAGCCGGCUCUGUUUGUGAGGGGCUUUGAAGAACACUAGGAAAACUCAGAGAAGUCAUCCCAAUGUGCACUCCGAGGGCCUCAGAUUCUACCACCAGAGCUCUGUUUGGGGAUCAGGAAGCCUGUCAGCCUUGUCCUAAUGGUACCCGUAUGAAAUACAAACACCCAAGAAGAGGUCAAGUCAUGAGCAUUGUCAGCCAUAACUAGGAUUUCAACUCUUAUUGAUAAUUCUGAUAAGAGUGCAGAGUGUGCUGUGAUGCUCUAAAAAAAAUACAGAUUCCUGGGUAUGAUUCAGUAGACAUGGUCACCAGCCGCAAUGAUCCCUGGCCCCUGAUAGUCACACCUUUGUGUGGUCCCUUCUGCACCGGUGUGUGCAACCGACAUAUAGCAUGUGGCAGAGGGAUAGCACGUCACUUCCGAGAUUACGUUAUAAAAGAUCGGGACUUCUGUGUUGGAUGCUCGCCCUUCUCACCUGUUCUCGUUCUCUCUCUCUCUCUCUCUCUCUCAGAUCACUUGCUUUGGAGGAAGCCAGCUGUCAGGGUGUGAGGACACUCAAGCAGUUUAUGAAGAGGUCCACGUGGCAAGGAACUGAAGCCUUUUGCCAACAACCAAGGUGGAAGUGAAGGAGCCGUGUGAGGGGGCCAGGAUGGAAGGAGGCCCUCCAGCCGCAGUCAAGCCUUCAGAUGGCUGCAACCCUGGCCAUCAGCCAGGAGAGUCCAGGAGAGACCCUGAGCCAGAACCCCAGCCAAGCUCCUCCCAGGUCCCUGGCCCUCUGAAAGGUCCCUCCAUGCUGAAGGCCAUCUCCCCUCACCACCCAAGGAAAAGUGACCUCGGGAAUUCUGGCAGAUCCCACACAGGCAGGACGAUGGAAAAAGGAGCCGUGGUCAAUGGUGUCAGCAUGGAGUUGAAUUGUGGGACACUCCACUGGCAUCAGAAAACUGCUUGGUGGCGAUGGAAAAAACCCCACACACAUCAGAACUGGUGUCAGAAUCGGACCAUGUGACUCAGCAAUUCCGUUUCCCAGGCACCUACCCGGAAGAGUUGAAAAUAGGGACUCAACAAAUACUUGCACACGAAUGUUCAUAGCAGAAUAAUUGACAAGAGCCAAAGCGUGGAAAGAACUCAAACGCCCAUCAGCAGAUGAAUGGAUGGACAACGAGUGACAGACCCACAUGAUGAAAUACACGCCACAGUGUGGACGAACCUCAAAAUUUUAUGCUGAGUGAAAGACGCUAGGCCCAAAAGGCCACAUAUGAUCCCACGCAUCUAAAUAACCAGAAGAGAGAAAUUCACAGAAACAGAAAGCAGAUCGGUGGGUGCCAGGAAUAAGAAGGAAAUGGAGAGUCACCGCUUAGCGGACAUCGAUUUUAUUCUGGGGGGGUUGAAAAUGUUUUGGAACUACGUAGAGGGGAUAGUUACACACUAUUAUGAAAAUAUGAAAUGACACGCAAUUGAACGCUUUAAAAUGGUUAAUGUGGGGGGCGCCUGGUUGGUUCAGUGGGUUGAGCAUCCGGCUGUUGGUUUUGGCUCAGGUCAGGGUCUUGUGGUUUGUGACACUGAGCCCCGCCCGUGCUGGGCUCCAUAGCACGGAGCCUGCAGGCUUCUCUCUCUCCCUCUCUCUCAGCCCCUGCCUGCCCUGCUCGAACUCACAUGUGUACGCGCUCUCGCUCCAAAAUAAACUUGAGAAGAUGAGACAACCCGGUAUAAAAUCAAACACUACACCAGGGGUUCUCAAAGUGGGGCCCCUGGACCAGCAGCACCAACGUCCCCUGGGAACUUGUUGUGGGUGGAGAGCCUCUCCAGACACCAGCCACCUGUGUGUUCCCAGUGCAGCAGAGAUGCCUGCCCGCCCAGGGAAGGGCCCCUCUCUGCCCCGGGACAGCUGUAACCCUACCCACCCCUGUAUAAAAGCCCCUGGUCACCCCUUACCCUUCCCGGUCGAUGUGUGGCAGGGUCGGCUUGGGCGUGUGUCUCAGCUUCCGGUGGAACUGCGUGAAGUCCAGCUUUUCGGGCUGCAGGUCCCAGGUGGCACCACUAGAGGGCGAGAAAAGGUGAGAAAGGUGAGGCAAGGGGGAGACCAGCCCAGUUACCUAUGGCACCAGACAGCUGGGCACAAGCCUGGCAGGGAGCGUCUUCACAAAGAGGUGGGCAGGCUGGGGAGGACACCCACCAGCCCAGGGCAGGGUCGACAGAGACCCCUCCCUCAGAAUGGAGCUGGCGGUGUCAGCUCUGUGUUCAGAUAGUGGGGCGGGAGGCUCCCCAUUCCUCAACCCUGCUGUACAGCAAUGCA